AGUGAACGCUGGCGGUAGGCCUAACACAUGCAAGUCGAACGGCAGCACAGUAAGAGCUUGCUCUUACGGGUGGCGAGUGGCGGACGGGUGAGGAAUGCAUCGGAAUCUACUUUUUCGUGGGGGAUAACGUAGGGAAACUUACGCUAAUACCGCAUACGACCUACGGGUGAAAGCAGGGGAUCUUUGGACCUUGCGCGAUUGAAUGAGCCGAUGUCGGAUUAGCUAGUUGGCGGGGUAAAGGCCCACCAAGGCGACGAUCCGUAGCUGGUCUGAGAGGAUGAUCAGCCACACUGGAACUGAGACACGGUCCAGACUCCUACGGGAGGCAGCAGUGGGGAAUAUUGGACAAUGGGCGCAAGCCUGAUCCAGCCAUACCGCGUGGGUGAAGAAGGCCUUCGGGUUGUAAAGCCCUUUUGUUGGGAAAGAAAAGCAGCAGGUUAAUACCCCGCUGUUCUGACGGUACCCAAAGAAUAAGCACCGGCUAACUUCGUG
rnacentral:rRNA from 1 species